GCCAGGAUAGCUCCGUUGGUUAGAGCAUGGUGCUGAUAACGCCAAGGUUUCAGGUUCGAUCCCCACAUGGGACAACUGCAUGGCA
rnacentral:tRNA from 1 species